GUCUUAUUGAUUUAAAAAUAAUAAGUCUAUUCUGCCCAUUGAAAAUAAAUUUAAAAGGCUGCAGUAUUUUAACUGUACAAAGGUAGCAAAAUCAAUAGUUUUUUAAUUGAAAACUUGAAUGAAAGAAUUAAUGAAAUAUAUUCUGUCUCAAAUUUAAUUUUUAUAUUUAAUUUAAAUUAAAAGUAAAAAUGCUUUUAUAAAUUUAUUAGACGAUAAGACCCUAAGAAUUUAAGAUUAUAAAUUUUUUAAUUUAAUUUAAUAAAAAAUGAUUAAUUUAUUUAUAUUUUUUUAUUGGGAGGGUAAUUAAAUUAAUAAACUUUAAUUAGUUAAUAACAUGGAUAAAUGAAUUUUAAUGAUAAUAUUAAUAAUUAUGAGAAAAAAUUACCUUAGGGAUAACAGCGUAAUAAUUUUGGAGAGUUCAUAUUAAUAAAAUUGAUUGCGACCUCGAUGUUGAAUUAAAAUAAAAAUUAAGUGAAGAGGCUUAAAUUUUUAGUCUGUUCGACUAUUAAAAUUUUUACA
rnacentral:rRNA from 1 species